rnacentral:rRNA from 1 species
GGUCGUUUAAAGCCAUUAUGCCAGCAUCCUAAGUGCGAUGUGUCCGAGACCAACCCUUGCGGGCGCACUGCGUUCCUCAGUCCAGCGAGAUCAAUGCGAAACUGGGCUAUAACACAACCGAGGUUGCCACAUUCCCAGCUCCCUUGUUAACCCCCCCAAACUGAUGCUGACCUGCCGACCUAGAAAUACACCAGAAGGCUGAAUCUAGGCAGGCACGACUGACUUCAAUCGUUUCCCUUUCAACAAUUUCACGUACUGUUUGACUCUCUUUCCAAAGUGCUUUUCAUCUUUCCCUCACGGUACUUGUUCGCUAUCGGUCUCUCGCCAGUAUUUAGCUUUAGAUGGAAUUUACCACCCAUUUUGAGCUGCAUUCCCAAACAACUCGACUCAUUGAGAGUGUAUCACAAAGCAUUGGGUGUCUGUGUCAAGGACGGGAUUCUCACCCUCUAUGACGCCCUGUUCCAAGGGACUUGUACACAGGCCAACGCGGAAAACACUUCUCGAGAUUACAAUUCGGACAAGCGUAGCCUGCCAGAUUUUAAAUUUGAGCUCUUCCCGCUUCACUCGCCGUUACUAGGGGAAUCCUUGUUAGUUUCUUU